CUGUCUGAAGGUCCACAGAGACAUCUCCCGCCUCACCUGGGUGAAGAGUCUACAGUCGUCUGUGUCUGGAUUCUUUGUGGAUAAAGAAGAAUUGAAACAGAGGAUUGUGCAGCUCCUCCUCAGGUGGGAGGUGGAGUCCUUGAGAUUUCUCCAUGAGGAGGUGGAGAAGUCAGGACGGUGCCUCCUGAACUUGAGAGAAGAGGAGUCAUUGCCAGCAUCUGUAUUUAAACUAAACCCUUAUGUAACAGAUAAUGUCCUGUCAAUCAUCAUUUCAU